rnacentral:rRNA from 1 species
UACGGGGGGGGCAAGCGUUGUUCGGAAUUACUGGGCGUAAAGGGCUCGUAGGUGGCCAACUAAGUCGUACGUGAAAUCCCUCGGCUUAACCGGGGAACUGCGUCUGAUACUGGAUGGCUUGAGGUUGGGAGAGGGAUGCGGAAUUCCAGGUGUAGCGGUGAAAUGCGUAGAUAUCUGGAGGAACACCGGUGGCGAAGGCGGCAUCCUGGACCAAUUCUGACACUGAGGAGCGAAAGCCAGGGGAGCAAACGGG